rnacentral:rRNA from 1 species
AGUGAACGCUGGCGGUAGGCCUAACACAUGCAAGUCGAACGGCAGCACAGUAAGAGCUUGCUCUUACGGGUGGCGAGUGGCGGACGGGUGAGGAAUACAUCGGAAUCUACUUUUUCGUGGGGGAUAACGUAGGGAAACUUACGCUAAUACCGCAUACGACCUACGGGUGAAAUCAUGGGAUCUUCAGACCUUGCGCGAUUGAAUGAGCCGAUGUCGGAUUAGCUAGUUGGCGGGGUAAAGGCCCACCAAGGCGACGAUCCGUAGCUGGUCUGAGAGGAUGAUCAGCCACACUGGAACUGAGACACGGUCCAGACUCCUACGGGAGGCAGCAGUGGGGAAUAUUGGACAAUGGGCGCAAGCCUGAUCCAGCCAUACCGCGUGGGUGAAGAAGGCCUUCGGGUUGUAAAGCCCUUUUGUUGGGAAAGAAAAGCAGCAGGUUAAUACCCCGCUGUUCUGACGGUACCCAAAGAAUAAGCACCGGCUAACUUCGUG